rnacentral:rRNA from 1 species
GACGAACGCUGGCGGCGUGCUUAACACAUGCAAGUCGAACGGUAAGGCCCUUCGGGGUAUACGAGUGGCGAACGGGUGAGCAACACGAGGGUGUUCUGCCCUGCACUUCGGGAUAUGCCUGGGAAACUGGGUCUAAUACCGGAUGUGACUCCGGACCGUAUGGGCUGUGGUGGCAAGACUUUGCGGUGUGGGAUGGGCCCGCGGCCUAGCAGCUGGUUGGUGGGGUGCUGGCCUACCAAGGCGACGACGGGUAGCCGGCCUGAGAGGGUGACCGGCCACACUGGGACUGAGAUACGGCCCAGACUCCUACGGGAGGCAGCAGUGGGGAAUAUUGCACAAUGGGCGCAAGCCUGAUGCAGCGACGCCGCGUGAGGGAUGACGGCCUUCGGGUUGUAAACCUCUUUCAGCAUCGACGAAGCGAAAGUGACGGUAGGUGCAGAAGAAGGACCGGCCAACUACGUGCCAGCCGCCGCCGUAA